GGACAGGUGGCAGAGUGGUUUAUUGCGCCCGCCUGAAAAACGGGAGUGCCUGAAAGGGUACCGCGGGUUCGAAUCCCGCCCUGAUUU
rnacentral:tRNA from 1 species